UACGGAGGGUGCGAGCGUUGUCCGGAAUCACUGGGCGUAAAGGGCGCGUAGGUGGCCUGUGGAAGUCUGCGGUGAAAGCCCGGGGCUCAACCCGGGUCCGGCCGUGCGGACUGCGGGCGUGGAGCACUGUAGGGGCGGGUGGAAUUCCGGGUGUAGCGGUGGAAUGCGUAGAGAUCCGGAAGAACACCGGUGGCGAAGGCGGCCCGCUGGGCAGUGGCUGACGCUGAGGCGCGACAGCGUGGGGAGCAAACAGG
rnacentral:rRNA from 1 species